AGAGUUUGAUCCUGGCUCAGAAUGAACGCUGGCGGCGUGCUUAACACAUGCAAGUCGUGCGCGAAGGCGGCUUCGGCGCCGGAGAGCGGCGGACGGGUGAGUAACACGUGGGUAAUCUGCCUGGGAGCGGGGGAUAACCUGGGGAAACUCGGGCUAACACCGCAUACGUUGUCGCCUCGCGAGGGGUGACAAGAAAGGCCUCUACUUGUAAGCUAGCGCUCCCAGAGGAGCCCGCGGCUGAUUAGCUAGUUGGUGAGGUAAUGGCUCACCAAGGCGACGAUCAGUAGCCGGCCUGAGAGGGUGAUCGGCCACACUGGGACUGAGACACGGCCCAGACUCCUACGGGAGGCAGCAGUGGGGAAUAUUGGACAAUGGGCGCAAGCCUGAUCCAGCAACGCCGCGUGGAGGAUGAAGGUCUUCGGAUCGUAAACUCCUGUCAGACGGGACGAAGGAGCUUCGGUAAAUAAUCGGAGCUCUUGACGGUACCGUCAGAGGAAGCCCCGGCUAACUCGUGCCAGCAGCCGCGGUAAUAC
rnacentral:rRNA from 1 species